UUACAUUCGGCCUCCACUUGUUAGCCUACAAAGGAAUACCAUGCCACAUCGGCAGAUAACGUCUUAGACAGUGAGUACUCCAAAUUGAAUGCAUUAGCCAAUUUUUUGCAUCAGUUUUUGGUAUUGGACAACUAGGGACUAAAGUGAAUAUACACGGCAAGUUCAAGCACUGUAUAUAAAUUUACCUCUAGUAUCUCAUAGUAUACGGAAACACACUUCCGUUUCUAAAGAUUGGGCGGACGCAUGACAACUUCAGGCGAUGCUGACUAGACCUAACUAGACUAGACGUGACUUGAUCUCACAGGCAUGGCUCUAACCGAACUGGCCAGACCGAGACAACCGCGAAGGAAGGGCUCAUCCCAUGGUGACAUUUGAACACUUCUUUUAACUUUGAACAUGUAUCCAACGCGAAUGAUCACCGAUGUGUACAAUACUAUGAGUCCGCGAGGAGUGCUCACCUAUAGACUGAGAGCGCUGCGGCGUGAGGAAGGAUGGACGAGGUGAUGCGGAGGUUGGGACCGUGGGUGCUCGGCGACAACAUCAGUUUCUGUCUCUGCCCGUGUCGACGCCUUUACCACCGUGUUGUUCUUAAUCUUGAGGGAGACCUGACGACACACCUCGGCGGGGGUCAGCUUCUCCGCCUCCGGACCUGCACUAGAUACAACGGCUAUUUCUUGAGUUGUUGCUUCUUCUUCUUCGGUUGCUUCUUACCAACGUUGGUGUGAGUCUCCUCCACGGAUCUGGUCACUGUCAUGGAAACCAUCUUAGCAACAAUAGUAUUACACAACAACAACAAUGGCAUGACGAGAACUAGAUCCACUGAGCAGCCUCACACCGACAUGUCAUUGUCUAUGUGGGUUACUAGCAACUAAACAAUAUAUUUCUAUGUAUCUAGCAUGCAUGUCCAGUAGAUGGUUACGAAGAUCAUAUAUGUAUGUGUAUAUGUAUCUAUUUAUCCCGAGCAGACAAAAACAAGGACAAUGAAAACUAUUAAUGGCAUUGUUUAGUGUGAUGCAUUGACGCUUAAUGUGAUGGAUGGAUGUCAGGCAUGAAAAAGAAAAGCAUGCUUAAUGUGUUGGAUGAGUCCAAAAAAGUGUAACUGAGGCAUAGAACUACAUGUGACAAGAACUAGUAGAAAACUACAACAAUACACACAACAAUGAUCAUUACGAAUGGUAUAGUGAGGAGGAGGGCUUGCGUACCAGUGGAGCGAGAGCGUGGC
rnacentral:lncRNA from 1 species